rnacentral:rRNA from 1 species
UACAGAGGGGGCAAGCGUUGUUCGGAAUUACUGGGCGUAAAGGGCGCGUAGGCGGCCUUCUAAGUCGAACGUGAAAUCCCCGGGCUCAACCCGGGAACUGCGUCCGAUACUGGAAGGCUUGAAUCCGGGAGAGGGAUGCGGAAUUCCAGGUGUAGCGGUGAAAUGCGCAGAUAUCAGGAGGAACACCGGUGGCGAAGGCGGCCACCUGGACGGUCACUGACGCUGAGACGCGAAAGCGUGGGUAGCAAACAGG